UACGUAGGAGGCAAGCGUUGUCCGGACUGACUGGGCGUAAAGGGCUCGUAGGUGGCCAACUAAGUCAGACGUGAAAUCCCUCGGCUCAACCGGGGAACUGCGUCUGAUACUGGAUGGCUUGAAUCCGGGAGAGGGAUGCGGAAUUCCAGGUGUAGCGGUGAAAUGCGUAGAUAUCUGGAGGAACACCGGUGGCGAAGGCGGCAUCCUGGACCGAUAUUGACACUGAGGAGCGAAAGCCAGGGGAGCAAACGGG
rnacentral:rRNA from 1 species